UACAGAGGGUGCGAGCGUUAAUCGGAAUUACUGGGCGUAAAGCGUGCGUAGACGGCUAUCUAAGUCGGGUGUGAAAGCCCCGGGCUCAACCUGGGAAUUGCAUUCGAGACUGAAUAGCUAGGGUACGGUAGAGGGAAGUGGGAAAUUUCCGGUGUAGCGGUGAAAUGCGUAGAUAUCGGAAGAACAUCGAAGUGGCGAAAGCGACUUCCAUGGACC
rnacentral:rRNA from 1 species